UGGGGAAUUUUGCACAAUGGGGGCAACCCUGAUGCAGCGACGCCGCGUGAUUUACAAGGCCUUCGGGUUGUAAAAAUCUUUUGUAUGGGAAGAAAAUGACAGUACCAUACGAAUAAGGACCGGCUAAUUACGUGCCAGCAGCCGCGGUAAUACGUAAGGUCCGAGCGUUGUCCGGAAUCAUUGGGCGUAAAGGGUACGUAGGCGGAUAAGCAAGUUAGAAGUGAAAUCCUAUAGCUCAACUAUAGUAAGCUUUUAAAACUGCUCAUCUUGAGGUAUGGAAGGGAAAGUGGAAUUCCUAGUGUAGCGGUGAAAUGCGCAGAUAUCAGGAGGAAUACCGGUGGCGAAGGCGACUUUCUGGCCAUAAACUGACGCUGAGGUACGAAAGCGUGGGUAGCAAACAGG
rnacentral:rRNA from 1 species